CUCUUCUUGUUUUAAAUAAUUUGAAGUAUAACCUGCCCACUGAAGUUGAAUUUUGAAGGGCCGCGGUAUUUUGACCGUGCAAAGGUAGCAUAAUCAUUAGUCUUUUAAUUGAAGACUGGAAUGAAUGGUUGGACGAGGAAUAUACUGUUUCUUAUUAAUUUGUUGAAUUUAAAUAUUAAGUUAAAAUGCUUAAAUAUUAUUAUGGGACGAGAAGACCCUAUAGAGUUUAAUAUAUUAUUUUUAUUUUAGUUUGUAUUGUAAAUUUUAUUAUAAUUUUGAAUUUAUUUUGUUGGGGUGAUUAAAAGGGUUAUUAAGCUCUUUUUUUAAUGUAUAUAUUUAUUUAUAAAUGGUUGAUCCUAUUUUGUUGAUUAAAAGAUUAAAUUACCUUAGGGAUAACAGCGUAA
rnacentral:rRNA from 1 species